rnacentral:lncRNA from 1 species
GGAUUUUGAAAAACAUUUUAACACCUCAGAUGUUGCCAGCAGAAGCCGAUUUUUGGAUAUGUUAUAAUAAAAGAAGUUUGCUACAUUCUUUUAAAAUCUUGUGAAGUUUCGAGAUUGAUAAUUAUGUAAACGAAUUUAUUUUUAACAUUUUCUGUUUGGGAAAGAAAAGUAAAGUACCGUAUUUAUAUUUUCUGCCUAAAAUGUUAAAGUCAAUGGUACAUGCUUGAAAAUCAG